GGCAGGGAGGCGCAGGGUGCGUGUCGGCUCCUAAUAGUGGGUGAAUUUAUUGAAACCUGAGCGCCGGAGGGACCUCGUUCGACUCGGGGCCCUGCCG